rnacentral:lncRNA from 1 species
CAGAAAGGCUCGGGCAAGCAGGACUUCGCUCCAGUGCAGCCCCGGGAAGUCGAAAUAAACAUUGAGGCGGUUUCUGUUAGCCUUUUCGGCUCAUUUUAGUGGGGAAAAAAAAAGUCGGGGGGACUGGAGGCUUGGAGCCGGCCAGCAGCGCCCAGAGCCAGCCUCCGCGGCAGGUGACGGACAGGUGGAGAGGCUGCGGUUCCAGGGUGCCGAGCGCCUGUCCUGCUGGCGGCCGGGAGCCGGACAGGAACUGGGGCCACUUGCAUUUCACCCCAGGAAGCAGCGACACACCUGGGCGGUGACAGGACGCGUCCAUGUGAGUGGAGGUGGUAUCUGGCUGUAUCUAAUCUCUGCCGACCUUGUCCAGCAGGAUGGGGAAGGAUGUGGGAUUUGGACUGAAGGUGAGUCUGCGGGUAUGCAGCAGCUGUGUCCUGAGUUAACGUCUUCACCGGUGAGUCCAUCUUCUCAUGAUCACACCCACCUCAGAUGGGCAUUAAUGCUUCGUGAUCUGAGUGUGUGCUCUGCCCAGGAAAUAGUAGCCUCUCAAUAAAUGGUGCUUCGCCAGGUAAGCCUGUGUCCACUCAGGCAGGGACAAAGUGGAGGGUUGUGACCUCAGUUGGUGGGGGUGGCCUGGGUGGCAAACAGUGAGGAUUAUACAAACCGGUCUCCAUCCCCACCCCCACGGCGUUAUCGCCCAUUUCCUUUGAGAGUUACCUGACGAGCAUUGUGUCACUGGCUCACCUGCCCGGCAGACGUUGUCACACAUCGAUGGUGGGCACGGGUCACUCUCGGGGCCUGCCGUGUGCAUGGCCUGUGUGCAGACCUUGGCACUGCAGCGCUGGACUCUCCGGCCUCACUGUGCCAGUGAGCCUGAUGGCACAGGCGGGAGCGUGACCCUGAGGGGCACUACUGGGGGACAGGCGGUGGGGGCCCAUCCUGGGGGCUCAGGGAGGGUCCUUCAGAGGAAGCAGGAGCUGGGCUGGAAGCUGGGACGCCUGGGCUGC